rnacentral:lncRNA from 10 species
GGCUGAACUCCCCGCAAGCAGAGCCUGAGCAAAAGUUUAGGCAUGAACAGUGCGUAAGGAAGUGAAAUCACAGGGGAGUAGGACUGAGAGAAAAGGGAAGUGAGUCAGGAGAAGAGGGAGAGCAACUACAAGGAAGUGCAUUCCGUGGCUGGGCAUUGCCUCUCGAGUCUGCAGGAGCACCAAGGGUUGGUCAGGAGGCAGUAUGGGGGCAUUACUGAGAGUUUAGGAGGGAUCCAAG